rnacentral:rRNA from 1 species
UACGAAGGGGGCUAGCGUUGCUCGGAAUCACUGGGCGUAAAGGUGCGUAGGCGGGUCUUUAAGUCAGGGGUGAAAUCCUGGAGCUCAACUCCAGAACUGCCUUUGAUACUGAGAUCUUGAGUUCGGGAGAGGUGAGUGGAACUGCGAGUGUAGAGGUGAAAUUCGUAGAUAUUCGCAAGAACACCAGUGGCGAAGGCGGCUCACUGGCCCGAUACUGACGCUGAGGCACGAAAGCGUGGGGAGCAAACAGG